GAGCAGUGCUGCAAGACCCAUUUGAAACCUAGCUAUAUUGCUAAGGUUAAAACAGCUUUCUCUCCAUGCACCUAGUCCUCACCUGGUAGCCAUCCUCUCCUUCCUCCAUUUUUUAUCUUUGCCUCCCACUUUAAUUCUCCCAUUAAACCAUUUCAAGAAAGCUUCCACUUAAAUCAUUCCUUCCUCCCACACUUCUUUUUCGUUCUUUGUUAUUCAGUACCUCAAUCCCACAUGCAAAGCCACAUCUCUUCGGAUAAUAUUGUGUCGG
rnacentral:misc_RNA from 1 species